AUACGGAGGGGGCAAGCGUUGUUCGGAAUUACUGGGCGUAAAGCGCGCGUAGGCGGUUUGUUUAGUUAGGCGUGAAAGCCCUGGGCUCAACCCAGGAACUGCGCUUGAUACUGGCAGACUAGAGUCCGGGAGAGGAGAGUGGAAUUCCCAGUGUAGAGGUGAAAUUCGUAGAUAUUGGGAAGAACACCAGUGGCGAAGGCGGCUCUCUGGACCGGUACUGACGCUGAUGUGCGAAAGCGUGGGGAGCAAACAGGAUUAGAUACCCGAGUAGUCC
rnacentral:rRNA from 1 species